GCAGGAAGCGACGGCGAAGAAGGGCAAAGGGAAUGGACAGUGAGAUGAGUGACCAGGUAAAUGAUAAAGUAAUUAUGCCAAUGUUUUAAUUCAAUUCAUAAAGAUCCCAGUUCUGUGUUGAAUUUGCAAUUAUAAACACUCGAUUGUAUUGUACAUAUGUCCCGGCAAGAAAUCUGCGUUCAAAGAACUCCGGCUUAUUAUUGAUACCCAGAGCCCAAAAAAAGUCUGCGGGCUAUAGAGCGUUUUCUAUUCAGGCUCCAGUACUAUGGAAUGCCCUCCCGGUAACAAUUAGAGAUGCUACCUCAGUAGAAGCAUUUAAGUCCCAUCUUAAAACUCAUUUGUAUACUCUAGCCUUUAAAUAGACCCCCCUUUUAGACCAGUUGAUCUGCCGUUUCUUUUUUCUCCUCUGCUCCCCUCUUCCUUGUGGAGGGGGGGGGGGCACAGGUCCAGUGGCCAUGGAUGAAGUGCUGGCUGUCCAGAGUCGGGACCCGUGGUGGACCGCUUGCCUGUGCAUCGGCUGGGAACAUCUCUGCGCUGCUGACCCGUCUCCGCUCGGGAUGUGUACAAAGGAAUAGGACAGUGAUAUGAGUGACCAGGAAGCGACGGCGAAGAAGGGCAAAGGGAGGUGUACAAAGGAAUAGGACAGUGAUAUGAGUGACCAGGAAGCGACGGCGAAGAAGGGCAAAGGGAAUGGACAGUGAGAUGAGUGACCAGGUAAAUGAUAAAGUAAUUAUGCCAAUGUUUUAAUUCAAUUCAUAAAGAUCCCAGUUCUGUGUUGAAUUUGCAAUUAUAAACACUCGAUUGUAUUGUACAUAUGUCCCGGCAAGAAAUCUGCGUUCAAAGAACUCCGGCUUAUUAUUGAUACCCAGAGCCCAAAAAAAGUCUGCGGGCUAUAGAGCGUUUUCUAUUCAGGCUCCAGUACUAUGGAAUGCCCUCCCGGUAACAAUUAGAGAUGCUACCUCAGUAGAAGCAUUUAAGUCCCAUCUUAAAACUCAUUUGUAUACUCUAGCCUUUAAAUAGACCCCCCUUUUAGACCAGUUGAUCUGCCGUUUCUUUUUUCUCCUCUGCUCCCCUCUUCCUUGUGGAGGGGGGGGGGGCACAGGUCCAGUGGCCAUGGAUGAAGUGCUGGCUGUCCAGAGUCGGGACCCGUGGUGGACCGCUUGCCUGUGCAUCGGCUGGGAACAUCUCUGCGCUGCUGACCCGUCUCCGCUCGGGAUGUGUACAAAGGAAUAGGACAGUGAUAUGAGUGACCAGGAAGCGACGGCGAAGAAGGGCAAAGGGAGGUGUACAAAGGAAUAGGACAGUGAUAUGAGUGACCAGGAAGCGACGGCGAAGAAGGGCAAAGGGAAUGGACAGUGAGAUGAGUGACCAGGAAGUGAAGAAGAAGAAAACAGGGAAAGGGAAAAGAACCAAGCAAACGCCAGUGAGACCAGUGAGCAUUGAGCAGGAAGAGAACCAACAAGAAGGGGCAGGAGUACACUGACGCGCACGACCAAGACCACAGCAUUCCAUUUCUAUUGUAUUAUAAUUAUCACUAAUAAAGAAUUAUUGUUGAA